rnacentral:lncRNA from 1 species
UGGUAUGUGCCUAAAAUCCCAGUACUUGGGGAGGUAGAGAUUAGGAAGAUCUCUGUCUCAGAAAGCCUGAUGAGGGCUGAAGAGAUUACUCAGUGGUUAAGAACACUGGCGGCUUCUCCAGAGCACCAGGUUCAAUUCCCAGCAUCCAAAUGGCAGCUCACAACUAUCUGUGACUCUUGUUUUAGAGGUCUGAUACCCUUGUUUAAAAAGAAAGGGCAAGGUGGGUGGCCUCCUAAGGAAUGGCACCUAGGGGUGUCCUUUGGCUUCUCUGUGCACACUUGUACUCACAUGCAUAAACACGCAGAACAAACAUCACCUGACCAAACAAAAAGCAUCUCAGAUGGUCACACACAGCCAAGGAAAUGUCAACUGCAGCGGCGAGCCUAAGACUAGAGAGCCCAGGAGCACCCGAGCUAGCUGCAAAUGUUGACGUCUGACUCCUGAGCCCGUGUCUGUUUUGUAGGUCCGAGUGCAGCCUAAGCACGAGAGUUUUACCAGCACUCAGGUGACUACUUGUGGGGAAGAUAAAAACACCCUCAGGUUCUAGGCGCCAACAUCUUCUCCUUACAAGAGCUUGCUCCCCUUCCACGUACCCAGUAAAACCUGUCAUCACUAACUUCAUUUUAACUGACCAAAGGAAGCCCCUUUCUCAGGAUUGCCUGGAAGAUCAGCCCUAGGCACAGGGCUUGCUGAUGUCGUCCCUAGCUUUGGCUGAUGUUCUGACCAGUCACCAACACCAUGCCACCCUAUCCCCAACCAUGCACUUCGCCCCUCUGAGACAGAGUU